UGGGGAAUUUUGGACAAUGGGCGCAAGCCUGAUCCAGCCAUGCCGCGUGCGGGAAGAAGGCCUUCGGGUUGUAAACCGCUUUUGUCAGGGAAGAAAUCUUCUGAGUUAAUACCUCGGGAGGAUGACGGUACCUGAAGAAUAAGCACCGGCUAACUACGUGCCAGCAGCCGCGGUAAUACGUAGGGUGCAAGCGUUAAUCGGAAUUACUGGGCGUAAAGCGUGCGCAGGCGGUUUUGUAAGACAGAGGUGAAAUCCCCGGGCUCAACCUGGGAACUGCCUUUGUGACUGCAAGGCUUGAGUGCGGCAGAGGGGGGAUGGAAUUCCGCGUGUAGCAGUGAAAUGCGUAGAUAUGCGGAGGAACACCGAUGGCGAAGGCAAUCCCCUGGGCCUGCACUGACGCUCAUGCACGAAAGCGUGGGGAGCAAACAGGAUUAGAUACCCUGGUAGUCCACGCCCUAAACGAUGUCAACUGGUUGUUGGGAAGGUUCCUUCUCAGUAACGUAGCUAACGCGUGAAGUUGACCGCCUGGGGAGUACGGCCGCAAGGUUGAAACUCAAAUGAAUUGACGGGGUCAUAGCUGUUUCC
rnacentral:rRNA from 1 species